rnacentral:rRNA from 1 species
GAGUUUGAUCCUGGCUCAGGAUGAACGCUGGCGGCGUGCUUAACACAUGCAAGUCGAACGGGAAACCUUUUAUUGAAGCUUCGGCAGAUUUAGAUUGUUUCUAGUGGCGGACGGGUGAGUAACGCGUGGGUAACCUGCCUUAUACAGGGGGAUAACAGUUAGAAAUGACUGCUAAUACCGCAUAAGCGCACAGGAUUGCAUGAUCUGGUGUGAAAAACUCCGGUGGUAUAAGAUGGACCCGCGUCUGAUUAGCUGGUUGGUGAGGUAACGGCCCACCAAGGCGACGAUCAGUAGCCGACCUGAGAGGGUGACCGGCCACAUUGGGACUGAGACACGGCCCAAACUCCUACGGGAGGCAGCAGUGGGGAAUAUUGCACAAUGGGGGAAACCCUGAUGCAGCGACGCCGCGUGAGCGAAGAAGUAUUUCGGUAUGUAAAGCUCUAUCAGCAGGGAAGAAAAAAAUGACGGUACCUGACUAAGAAGCCCCGGCUAACUACGUGCCAGCCGCCGCGGUAAUAC